GCAUUCAGUCAAUGUACUAUAAAUCACUUAUAAUUUUCAUCAUCGUUUAAGCUAGGCGUUCGUCUUUGAAACAACACAAUUUAUGAUUCAACUGAUGAUGUCGUGUGUAAAUACAGAACGAAAUGCACAUUGCAUGCCAUUGGCAGCUGUAAUUUUUGACAUGGAUUUUUUUCAUUCCUAGCCUACUUUGGUAAAAUCACUAUUAUUUGUUCAGUCAGCCUUUAAAGAAAAAUAUUUUAAGAUGGUUUUUCAUGCAAAUCUCGUAUCUUUAUAUCGCUUGAAUUUCGUAAAACUAAACUUUCGCAUUAUUGAAGAAUUGUUGAAUUUGGUUACUAAAUACAUGUUAAGACUGAAUUACUUCAAAUGUCAAAACAAUAUUCGAAAUUUUUAUUCAAAUUUACUGGCCAGCUGCCCCCUUCUUCUCAUACAUGGGCGUAAACUUCAACGUAACAAAGUAACAGUCUGAGCAAUUGGCAGGUGGCUCUAAAGUGUGAUCUGGUAUUAUAUAUAUUGAAGAAAUACGUUAAGGUAGGAUAAAGUUCUAACUGUUUCAUAGUGAAUAGCAGAGAUGUAUGAGUAGAACAUACAACGCAUAUUUAACAAUUAUACCAUGACUGAGCUCGAAUCGUAUACGAGCUGAUAGCCGACGAGGUGCGUAGCACUAUAGUAACUAUAUUGUAUAGCACCGAGUCGGCUAUCAGCCCGUUAUAUACGACGAGAGCGAAUGGUAUAAUUGUUUUAUAAUAUGGCCUAAUAGCCAUUAACUGAAGUAAUAAUUAAUUAUCCUCUGUUACAAUGUCUUGACAAUUUGUUCGGCCAAAAACCGCUUGGCCUUGAAAAUUUGAAAUACUCAGUUUGUUUUACAACUCGAAGACGAAGCGAAAGAAAUGGUUUUAGAACCGGUAUAUCUCACAAUGAAGCUCAGAUAUAUUAUACAGAUGUUUGGUAGUAUAGUAAGUGCUUGUUGACUGCAUAUUCAUUUGUCUUUCAUUGCAAACUUUUCUGAACAAUUUAUAUUCUCAAUGGAC